AGUUCUAUUAAGCCGAAUCCUGCACAAGUAGGUACGGGGGACAUCAAUCUUGGGGUGAAUAUAGGCGAAUGAUAGUCUAUACGGGAAAUCUUCCUUCCCGAACCCGACAACUAACCUCGGAGGCUGUAGGAGGAAUACGA
rnacentral:sRNA from 1 species